GACGAACGCUGGCGGCGUGCUUAACACAUGCAAGUCGAACGGAAAGGCCCUGCUUUUGUGGGGUGCUCGAGUGGCGAACGGGUGAGUAACACGUGAGUAACCUGCCCUUGACUUUGGGAUAACUUCAGGAAACUGGGGCUAAUACCGGAUAGGAGCUCCUGCUGCAUGGGGGGGGUUGGAAAGUUUCGGCGGUUGGGGAUGGACUCGCGGGUUAUCAGCUUGUUGGUGGGGUAGUGGCUUACCAAGGCUUUGACGGGUAGCCGGCCUGAGAGGGUGACCGGCCACAUUGGGACUGAGAUACGGCCCAGACUCCUACGGGAGGCAGAAGUGGGGAAUAUUGCAGAAUGGGCGGAAGCCUGAUGCAGCAAUGCCGCGUGCGGGAUGACGGCCUUCGGGUUGUAAACCGCUUUCGCCUGUGACGAAGCGUGCGUGACGGUAAUGGGUAAAGAAGCACCGGCUAACUACGUG
rnacentral:rRNA from 1 species